rnacentral:lncRNA from 1 species
AAGAACAGUUGUAUGAACAUCAUACUUAAAAUCACAGAAAUUAAAUAUGAUUCAAAAGAAGAUAUUCAUUAAAACAAUAAGUUCAUACAACCCCAAGAAUAUAAAAUAAAAUAUAAAACUCGUAUCCCUUUGUUAGGGCUGCAUCCAGCCCUAGUGAAAAGCUUAGGCUUCCAUGCAGUGGUGGACGGCAGCAGCAGCACAGCAGCAGGCUUUCAUCUUCGUAUAAAAAUCUUUCCCUUCCAUCCCACUCUCUCUAUUCCCAAAAUAUCACAAAGUAUUCUCUCCCUCUCCUUUCUCUCUCUGUUUUUUUAUUCUUUUGUGGGAACUUGGCUUCUCCCCGCCCUCUGAGAAGAUGAUCAGCCGACUCCCUUUGGUAAGGAAGAAGGGAAUGCCCCCCCCCCCCCGGUGGGGAAGGAGGGAUGCUCCUCUCGGUUCACGCUGGGCCUUUUAUAGGCUGCAACUUCCCCUCGUUCUUCUCCUCUGUGGCUGAUCCAAAUGGGAGGAUAAGGUCGUGGAAGUUGAUCUGACCCGAAGGAGGUUGAGAGGAGAUGAGCGUGGGACGUUAGGUGUUGAUGAGGAAUGCUGUUUCGAACGGGAUGUGCAGNNN